GAGAGAGAGAGAGAGAGAGAGAGAGAGAGAGAGAGAGAGAGAGAGAGAGAGAGAGAGAGAGAGAGAGAGAGAGAGAGAGAGAGAGAGAGAGAGAGAGAGAGAGAAAAGAAAACAAGAGGAAGCAAACAUCAACCUUCAUUUUGCAAUUUCCUCCUUCCUCGUUCCUUCUUCCUUCUUCCUGUCCUUUCUUUCUCCUCCAGCGAACCAUAUUUACCCUGACGCUCACGUCCUUCACUCCCACGACACACCUGACAACCUGCAACACAAAUGCCUGACAACCUGCAACACAAACACCUGAGAACUUGAAACACAAACGCCUGACAACCUGCAACACAAACACCUGACAACCUGCAACACAAACCUGACAACCUGCAACACAAACACCUGACAACCUGCAACACAAACACCUGUUAACAUGCAACACAAACACUCACAGGCAACAGGAAGAACACAGACAUCACUGUUCCUUGUGGGGUUGACUACAGUGCAUGACCUGGGUGAAGCUAAGGGAGGUUUGCUGCGAGAUUGGCAAUAGUGAUGUGGGUUGGUCGCCUCCCACUCUCCACCCAUCUCCGGGAUAGACUGACCUGCUUUCUCUCUCUCUCUCUCUCUCUCUCUGGUAUGUUAGUUUGUAUUUUUUUUAUUCAGAUUUCAAAAGACAAGGAAAUAAUGAUCUUGGUCUAGCUGUCCAGCUGGAGUACAAAUGAGUAAGAUGAAUCAGUGAAGCUUUUAACUGUGAGACUUCGAGAUAACGACCCCGGUGCUUCGAGUCACUUCUUCUCCACCAAUCCUCCACCUUCCCUUCCCUCCUAAGAUAAUCAGGUUCUCUUUUAAUGAAUAGUAAUGUGUAAAUAAUUUAUACUAUUUAAUAAAGUUUUCAUGUGAUGUGUUUGCAAAGUGUCAUGGUGUUCUUUUUUUUUUUUUUUUGUCCUUGUGUGUGUGUGUGUGUGUGUGUGUGUGUGUGUGUGUCCUUCCAUGCUUCAUUACUUUACUUUACUUUCGAAAUAUCAUUAUUCUUUAAGUUAACGAUUAUGUGUCUUUAGUAAAGUUAGAAAUGAAAAUCUUUAUUUACGAAUACUUUAAUUGCAAUGAGAAGAGUGAUCACGUAGCUCUCUCUCUCUCUCUCUCUCUCUCUCUCUCUCUCUCUCUCUCUCUCUCUUGUAAAUCCUACUUUACUCAACAUACUGUAAAAAACUUGCAAUUUCAUGCAUUUUACAAGGUCUCAGUACUCAACACCUUACACAAACCCCUCUGAUUGGUCGCAGCCUUAAGAACCAGCCAAUCACAGCACUUCUUUCACCCUCGCUAGGCAGUACUAGGUAAACAAAGAGUGGCAGGAUUUUUUUCGUGUUCCCUGCGUUAAUUUCCAUCUGUUAGUACGAAUUCAAGUCUUUUUAACCCCUUCAGUACCAUGACGCGUUUCCCUAUUCCCUAUUUGGUGACUGUUUACACCUUCAGAAACUCAUGUGGGGUAUUAACAUAUUGAAGACAGAGACCAUUAAUCUUCUGACCCCCAUAGACCCUUCCUAAUGUCAAUAAAAUGGUCUAAUCGUACACAAAUCUCAAGGUGAAAAAAUGCGUUCCUAUAUUGAAGGGGAUAAGGACGAUCGGUGAAUACGGAAGUGGUUCGCUAUACGGCAGUGACGGAAGGAGUGAUGGUGGUAGUGAGUCGGAAAGCAGAUGGAAGUGACAGUGAAUACGUGUGCCGAAAGUGAUAGUGGUGAAGUGCGUUUAUUAGUGGUAGAUAGAAGUGACAUGAAUAGAAAGGAUGGAGCUGAGAGAGAGAUGAGCCACGGAGAGAGAGAGCCACGAGCCAGCCAAACCCACUGAAAAGCCACGGACAGAGGUUAGCCACGGACGGAGAUGAGUCAAGAGCAGAGCGAAUAGACGGACGGAGAUGAGCCACGGACGGAGAUGAGUCAAGAACGGAGCGAAUAGACGGACGGAGGUUCCACGGACGGAGAUGAAUCAAGAACAGAGGGAAUAGACGGACAGAGGUUAGCCACGGACGGAGAUGAGUCAAGAACGGAGCGAAUAGACGGACGGAGGUUAGCCACGGACGGGGAACAAGAACAGACAGCAGGCGGUAAGGUAUGCGUCCUUAUAUCACGGUUCGUUCACCUUACUUUGUUCACUAUAUUGAGUUUCCUUUUGGGGAUUUUCCAUUGCGUUUU